rnacentral:rRNA from 1 species
UACGUAGGGGGCGAGCGUUGUCCGGAUUUAUUGGGCGUAAAGAGCGUGUAGGCGGCCAGGUAGGUCAGCUGUGAAAACUCGAGGCUUAACCUCGAGACGCCGGCUGAAACCCUCUGGCUAGAGUCCGGAAGAGGAGAGCGGAAUUCCUGGUGUAGCGGUGAAAUGCGCAGAUAUCAGGAAGAACACCCGUGGCGAAGGCGGCUCUCUGGGACGGUACUGACGCUGAGACGCGAAAGCGUGGGGAGCAAACAGG